rnacentral:lncRNA from 1 species
GGUCUUUGCUUGAGGAAAUUUCCCUAGGAGCCAUGAAGUAGUUCAUAUAAAUAUGCUGACAUCUUUCAACAGCUGGAAGUACUCAUUCUGGGUGUUAACACAGCAGGGAACAAUCAGAACUGGAAGAAGAAGAAGUGAUUGGCAUGCUGACACACUGCCAUAAGAAUUGCAGCGGGGAACAAUUACAUUGCUCAAAAAACACUUCACAAUUGGAUAGGAAGGGAAUUAUGUCAGUGCUGAAAGAUUUCACAGCUGUACUCCAAAACAAACCUGGAAAUGCACAUUAUAGGUACUGGAAACAAAAGAACCUAUUAUUUUGCCUUCUUUUAGGUUUGACCUUGGAUUUGCCAAACCUGACCCCUAGUCGAGGAACAAGGAUGUCCCCCAGAGGCAUGGUUGCAUGCUAGGAGGGAGAGAAGACCACCCACAAAUUCAAGACAUAUUUUUAUAUGUGUAUUUUAUAUUGGAGUUCAAUUUGCCAGCAUAUAGUAUAGCACCCAGUGCUCAUCCCGUCAAGUGCCCCCCUCAGUGCCCGUCACCCAGACAUAUUUUUAAACUCCAUCUAUAAUUGCUUUUGGAAUAGAAGUCAGAGUGGUGCCCUUUGCUUGAUUUUUCUCAUGCCUGGCACAGAUCCCCACCUAACUCAAUGACUUUGCUUCUAUUCCUGCCCUGAGUCUCCUUGUCCCCAGUCUCAGCUGUGACCUAAAGAUUUUCCCAUUUACCAGCAACACUGAAGCCAAAACUCUAAAGUGGCAGGAGUCUCUCAGCCUUGACUAUAACCUUUAGCAGACCCUAGAAGUUUUGUUUUGGCCAGAGGAAUUUGACCAGUUGACCAGGCUCCUUUAAAGCAUUUAAUAAUGGUGUUUUUAAUGUUUUCACUGAGACUUGGUGAUGUGAGCUCAAAAAAGCAGGUUAAGAUCACCUUUCUGAUUGGAUUUCAGUAGGCUUGCAGUGGAGGGACAUUAGACAUUGAAGGCAAAUGUGGAAAGAGUGUGCUGGUCUUCUGUGCGCUGGCUCCUGGCUUCCACUCUCUGUCUGAAAUGCUGACAGCAGGCUACCUUUCUGAGCAGAGCCUCGUUCUAUCACUAGGGACAUGGUAUCUGUGGUCUAGUGGGAAAAUCUCCCUAUGAGAAUUGCAGUUCUAAUGAGGGAGGCUAUUUUUAUCCCUAAAAGGGCUAAACCCAUGCACCAUGACACCUGGUGCUGUGGGAGAUUGGGGGACGUGGAUGGAGUUGUAGAGAUGUUGCACCAGUCCUGGAAAGCAUAGUUAGGUAAGGGAUAAUGACAAGGGCCAUGAUGAUGGUAGGAGCUAGUGGAUGACCUCUUAUGUCCCGGCUGGGCUCUAUAGCAGGGAGGUCUGGAACUCUCUAAAACUUUCUGAGAUCUUCUGUGGGUAAAAACUAAAAC